AGAUUGAACGCUGGCGGCAGGCCUAACACAUGCAAGUCGAGCGGUAGAGAGGUGCUUGCAUCUCUUGAGAGCGGCGGACGGGUGAGUAAUGCCUAGGAAUCUGCCUAGUGGUGGGGGAUAACGUUCGGAAACGGACGCUAAUACCGCAUACGUCCUACGGGAGAAAGCGGGGGACCUUCGGGCCUCGCGCCAUUAGAUGAGCCUAGGUCGGAUUAGCUAGUUGGUGAGGUAAUGGCUCACCAAGGCGACGAUCCGUAACUGGUCUGAGAGGAUGAUCAGUCACACUGGAACUGAGACACGGUCCAGACUCCUACGGGAGCAGCAGUGGGGAAUAGUUGGAACAAGUGGGACGAAAGCCUG
rnacentral:rRNA from 1 species